rnacentral:rRNA from 1 species
UACGUAGGGUGCGAGCGUUAAUCGGAAUUACUGGGCGUAAAGCGUGCGCAGGCGGUGAUGUAAGACAGGUGUGAAAUCCCCGGGCUCAACCUGGGAACUGCAUUUGUGACUGCAUGGCUAGAGUACGGUAGAGGGGGAUGGAAUUCCGCGUGUAGCAGUGAAAUGCGUAGAUAUGCGGAGGAACACCGAUGGCGAAGGCAAUCCCCCUGGACCUGUACUGACGCUCAUGCACGAAAGCGUGGGGAGCAACAGG